rnacentral:misc_RNA from 1 species
AACGCACCUUGCGCUCCUUGGUAUUCCGAGGAGCAUGCCUGUUUGAGCGUCGUGAAUCUCUCAACCCACAAAUUGUUUGUUCAGUUUGUGCGGCUUGGACUUGGAGGCAUUGCUGGCGAUGGUCAGCUCCUCUCAAAUGUAUUAGCUGGGCUUAGCUCGGUGGAACGGUUAGUGUGAUAAUUAUCUGCGCUGCCUACUACAUCGGAUCCCGCUUCUAAUCGUCCGCAAGGACAAUUCACUUUGAAUCUGACCUCAAAUCAGGUAGGACUACCCGCUGAACUUAA